GACGAACCGAGCGAACGUUAUUCGGAAUCACUGGGCUUAAAGGGCGCGUAGGCGGCGCGGGAAGUCAUCGGUGAAAGCUCAGGCUCACUCUGAGUCGGCCGGUGAUACUCUCGGUGCUUGAGCACUGUAGAGGCGAGGUGGAAUUCCGGGUGUAGGCGGUGGAAUGCGUAGAGAUCCGGAAGAACACCGGUGGCGAAGGCGGC
rnacentral:rRNA from 1 species